rnacentral:misc_RNA from 1 species
CAUGUCUGGUGAAGAGGAAGAAAAUGCUGCUGAGCUCAAAAUUGGAGAUGAGUUUUUGAAGGCCAAGUGCUUGAUGAAUUGUGAAGUAGCAUUAAUUCUUGAUCAUAAAUAUGAGCAGCUUCAGCAAAUGUCUGAUGAUCCAAUGAACCAAAUCUCUCAGUAAGUAAUAGACCACUUACUGCUUUUUUCACUGCUCUCUGUAUUACAGAGAAUGCAUUGAGAAUGUUGGCUGAAGUUUAGCUAUUUGGAUUUGGUUUGCUAGUAGCGACAAGCCAGUUUCAAGGUUACACUUUCAAGUUUAUGAUGCCAGUGUUUUGUAGUCUGUGAGAUCAUGUUGCUUAGGUGAAAACUUAAGUAACUGAAACAUUUUGGUGUAACCUGUAUUGGCACUUGGCCGGCUGACUUUCUGGUAUCUGUUAAAGUUGAAUGGCUUAAAUUCAGUGAACUAUAAGAUUUAAAAUGGGAAACAAUCUGUUAUCCUGCAAACUGUCUUAUUUCUGUUAAUAAUUUCAUUAACCACUAAACUCACAUUGUUGAAGUUUCAGUGAAUAUGUGAUCGUCUAUGCAAUAUAAGAAGUUUAUAGUCAUUUUCCCCUGGCUAUUUCUAAUUCCACUUUGUACACAACCAUGAUGAGUCUAUCAAUGGGAGGACUUUUAUGCAGUGUUUUCUUUCAGGUUUUGUAAUAUGCCCUAGCAUUAUGUUCAGAAUAUGAAAAAUAAGCAAGUUAGUGAGAAUGGAUGGUGCAAAAAAGACUCGGGAUUCACAAAAUUUGGAUGCCUCAAAACCGUACAUCCAAAUUAGUUCAAAAUUUGGUUUUUCUUUUUUGCAGGGUAUUUGAGAAAUCACUACAGUAUGUGAAGCGCUUUAGCCGUUAUAAAAAUCCUGAUGCUGUCAGACAAGUUCGAGAGUAUCCAUGAACUUUGUUGAAUUGAUAAUAGUGCACUAAUAAAUCUAUCUUCUUUUUGAACAUUUUUUAUGAAUGUUUCUCUCCCGAUCAGGUCUUAUCUAACAUACUAAAAUGAAUUUUGCAUCAAUGUAAAUAGCCAAAGUUUUUUAUUUAAUUGAGGUUCAAAAAUAAAAAUUUCUUGCCUCUUGUAUCAACAUUGUGAAACUUAACCAAUUAUCAGAAUUCUUAGCCGAUACCAGUUGGCUGAAUUCGAGCUAUGUGUUCUUGGCAACCUUUGUCCUGAAACUGUGGAGGAAGCUAUUGCCAUGGUGCCUUCUAUCAAGGUAUUACUUGUUCAAAAUCCGGCCUUUCUACUUUGAUUACUCAUGCUUAAAUUGAUCUAUAGUUUUAUUAGAAUAGACAUUGCUGAAAACAAAUAAAAUAUAAGCUACAGGAUGCAUCUGAGCCUGUUCAUUUGCUAGCAAAAUAGGCGAAGCUCAGCCCCAUGAUUAUCUGUCUGUGUCCUUAAAAAAAAAUGAUAAUAACUUUAGGUGUUCUGUGGGGACUCAGGGCUUCCUUGAUGUUGAAGGCAACUAUUUUUAGAAUCCUUAUUACCGUGGCAUUAUCUAUGGAAACAAAUUGGAAUGCCUAAUACUAUGCCAUGUGUAGUUUUUGUUACAGCCCUUCAAAUGGGAAUUUCUUUGUUUUUGCCUGAAUGCCUUUGUUAUGC